GAUGAACGCUGGCGGCGUGCCUAAUACAUGCAAGUCGAGCGAACAGACGAGGAGCUUGCUCCUCUGACGUUAGCGGCGGACGGGUGAGUAACACGUGGAUAACCUACCUAUAAGACUGGGAUAACCUCGGGAAACCGGAGCUAAUACCGGAUAAUAUAUUGAACCGCAUGGUUCAAUAGUGAAAGACGGUUUUGCUGUCUCUUAUAGAUGGAUCCGCGCCGCAUUAGCUAGUUGUUAAGGUAACGGCUUACCAAGGCAACGAUGCGUAGCCGACCGGAGAGGGGGAUCGGCCACACUGGAGCUGAGACACGGUCCAGACUCCUGCGGGAGGCAGCAGUAGGGAAUGGUACGCAAUGGGCGAAAGCCUGACGGAGCAACGGCGCGUGAGUGAUGAAGGUCUUCGGAUCGGAAAACUCUGUUAUUAGGGAAGAACAAAUGUGUAAGUAACUAUGCACGUAUUGACGGUACCUAAUCAGAAAGCCACGGCUAACUACGUG
rnacentral:rRNA from 1 species